AGACGUAGGAUGCAAGCGUUAUCCGGAAUCAUUGGGCGUAAAGAGUCCGUAGGUGGUAUGUUAAGUUGGAUGUUAAAUUUUUGAGCUCAACUCAAAAAAUGUGUCCAAAACUGGCAAACUGGAGACAGGUAGAGGCAAGUGGAAUUCUGCAUGUAGGGGUAAUAUCCGUAGAUAUGCAGAGGAACACCAAAAGCGAAGGCAGCUUGCUGGACCUGUUCUGACACUAAAGGACGAAAGCGUGGGGAGCAAACGGGAUUAGAAACCCCGGUAGUCC
rnacentral:rRNA from 1 species